GUUGACAUUCUGGUUUUAAAAGAAGCUGACUAUGAAAAUUCUUUUCACUUGCAUACUGUUUUUAAUACCGGCUUGUUUGGAAGGGCAACGAAAUCGAGUCUGCUUAGAGCCGAUAGUUAAGGGCUUUUGUGUUGGUCGUGAAACAAGAUAUGGUUACAACUACAAAGACAACAAGUGCUACCGCUUUAAUUACAGUGGAUGUGGUCAAAACGGAAAUAAUUUUAAGCAGUACAAGGAAUGCUUGAAGAUGUGCAAAAAGUAGUCACUCUAAAUAUUAUUUGAAUAAGUUAAGGUCGAAAUAUAAAGUAAAACUUAACAUAUUUAAAGAAUGUUAUAAUGGGUUUACUUCCUUAGUACGAAGAUGAUAAUUAUAAUGAAUAAUAUUAAAAUACCUAA